ensembl:snoRNA
CGGUGGCCCUUAUCGAAGCUGCAGCUGCUUCCCUGUAGUUGCUGCAGUCAAAAAGGAGCCCAGAGUAACAUUUUCCUUGACGGUCGCCGUUCUGUUUGCUGUAACUGAUCUGCAACAUUUUGGGGAAAGACAGUU